CCUACGGGAGGCUGCAGUAGGGAAUAUUGCUCAAUGGGGGAAACCCUGAAGCAGCAACGCCGCGUGGAGGAUGAAGGUUUUAGGAGUGUUAACUCCUUUUGUUAGAGAAGAUUAUGACGGUAUCUAACGAAUAAGCACCGGCCAACUCCGUGCCAGCAGCCGCGGUAAUACGGAGGGUGCACGCGUUACUCGGAAUCACUGGGCGUAAAGAGUGCGUAGGCGGGGUAAUAAGUCAGAUGUGAAAUCCUGUAGCUUAACUACAGAACUGCCUUUGAAACUGUUACUCUGGAGUGUGGGAGAGGUAGGUGGAAUGCGUGGUGUAGCGGUGAAAUGCGUAGAGAUCAAGAGGAAUACUGAUUGCGAAGGCGACCUGCUGGAACAUUACUGACGCUGAUGCACGAAAGCGUGGGGAGCGAACAGGAUUAGAUACCCGAGUAGUC
rnacentral:rRNA from 1 species